UGACCUCGGAUCAGGUAGGAAUACCCGCUGAACUUAAGCAUAUCAAUAAGCGGAGGAAAAGAAACCAACAGGGAUUGCCUCAGUAACGGCGAGUGAAGCGGCAACAGCUCAAAUUUGAAAUCUGGCCGCAAGGUCCGAGUUGUAAUUUGUAGAGGAUGCUUUUGGCGAGGUGCCUUCCGAGUUCCCUGGAACGGGACGCCAUAGAGGGUGAGAGCCCCGUACGGUAGGACCACCAAGCCUCUGUAAAGCUCCUUCGACGAGUCGAGUAGUUUGGGAAUGCUGCUCUAAAUGGGAGGUGUACGUCUUCUAAAGCUAAAUACCGGCCAGAGACCGAUAGCGCACAAGUAGAGUGAUCGAAAGAUGAAAAGCACUUUGAAAAGAGGGUUAAAAAGUACGUGAAAUUGUUGAAAGGGAAGCAUUCAUGACCAGACUUGGGCUUGGUUGAACAUCCGGCGUUCUCGCCGGUGCACUCUGCCAGUCCAGGCCAGCAUCAGUUUGCCCCGGGGGAUAAAGGCGGCGGGAAUGUGGCUCCCUUCGGGGAGUGUUAUAGCCCGUCGUGUAAUGCCCUGGGGCGGACUGAGGAACGCGCUUCGGCACGGAUGCUGGC
rnacentral:rRNA from 1 species